UUAUCAGACUUGUCACAAGGUUGUUCUAACAAGUCUGAUACAAUCAUGAUAUAACAAGAAUGUUACAAGAUUGAUGACACAAGUUUGUAACAAUAUUGUUAUGUCAUGACUGUAUCGGACUUGUUGGAACAACGUUGCAACAAGUCUGAUAA
rnacentral:miRNA from 1 species